rnacentral:rRNA from 1 species
GGGUGGUAAUGCCGGAUGCUCCAGUUGAUCGCAUGGUCUUCUGGGAAAGCUUUCGCGGUAUGGGAUGGGGUCGCGUCCUAUCAGCUUGACGGCGGGGUAACGGCCCACCGUGGCUUCGACGGGUAGCCGGCCUGAGAGGGCGACCGGCCACAUUGGGACUGAGAUACGGCCCAGACUCCUACGGGAGGCAGCAGUGGGGAAUAUUGCACAAUGGGCGCAAGCCUGAUGCAGCGACGCCGCGUGAGGGAUGGAGGCCUUCGGGUUGUAAACCUCUUUUAUCGGGGAGCAAGCGAGAGUGAGUUUACCCGUUGAAUAAGCACCGGCUAACUACGUGCCAGCAGCCGCGGUAAUACGUAGGGUGCAAGCGUUAUCCGGAAUUAUUGGGCGUAAAGGGCUCGUAGGCGGUUCGUCGCGUCCGGUGUGAAAGUCCAUCGCUUAACGGUGGAUCCGCGCCGGGUACGGGCGGGCUUGAGUGCGGUAGGGGAGACUGGAAUUCCCGGUGUAACGGUGGAAUGUGUAGAUAUCGGAAAAGAAACACCA